rnacentral:rRNA from 1 species
AACGAACGCUGGCGGCAGGCUUAACACAUGCAAGUCGAGCGCCCCGCCAGUGGUGCGGCGGACUGGUGAGUAACGCGUGGGAACGGACCUUUUGGUUCGGCACAACCUCGGGAAACGGGAGCUAAUACCGGAUAAGCCCUAACGGGGAAAGAUUUAUCCCCGAGAGAUCGGGCCGCGUCUGAUUAGCUGGGUGGGGGGGUAACGGCACACCAAGGCGACGAUCAGUAGCUGGUGUGAGAGUCUGAUCAGUCACACCGGGGCUGAGACACGGACCAGACUCUUACGGGAGGGAGGAGAGGGGAAUAUAGGACGACGGGGGCAAGCCUGACCCAGCCAUGCCGGGUAAGAGAUGCAGGCCGUAGGGAUGUAAAGCCGUUUUGUACGGGGCGAUAAUGACGGUACCGGAAGAAUAAGCCCCGGCUAACUUCGUG